rnacentral:rRNA from 1 species
GAUGAACGCUAGCUACAGGCUUAACACAUGCAAGUCGAGGGGAAACGGCAUCGAAAGCUUGCUUUUGAUGGGCGUCGACCGGCGCACGGGUGAGUAACGCGUAUCCAACCUGCCCAUCACUUGGGAAUAACCUUGCGAAAGUAAGACUAAUGCCCAAUGACAUCCCACGAAGGCAUCCGAAUGGGAUUAAAGAUUUAUCGGUGAUGGAUGGGGAUGCGUCUGAUUAGCUUGUUGGCGGGGUGACGGCCCACCAAGGCAACGAUCAGUAGGGGUUCUGAGAGGAAGGUCCCCCACAUUGGAACUGAGACACGGUCCAAACUCCUACGGGAGGCAGCAGUGAGGAAUAUUGGUCAAUGAGCGAGGGCCUGAACCAGCCAAGUAGCGUGCAGGAUGCCGGCCCUAUGGGUUGUAAACUGCUUUUAUAAGGGAAUAAAGUGGGUCACGUGUGACUUUUUGCAUGUACCUUAUGAAUAAGGACCGGCUAAUUCCGUG